ACCUAUCAGNUUUAGACGGUAGGGUAUUNGCCUACCGUGGCAAUGACGGGUAACGGGGAAUUAGGGUUCGAUUCCGGAGAGGGNGCNUGAGAAACGGCUACCACAUCUAAGGAAGGCAGCAGGCGCGCAAAUUACCCAAUCCUAAUACAGGGAGGUAGUGACAAGAAAUAACAAUACAGGACUUUAAAUAGUUUUGUAAUUGGAAUGAGUUAAGUAUAAACCCCUUUACAAGUAUCAAUUGGAGGGCAAGUNUGGUGCCAGCAGCCGCGGUAAUUCCAGCUCCAAUAGCGUAUAUUAAAGUUGUUGCAGUUAAAAAGCUCGUAGUUGGAUUUCUGUUAAUAAUUUAUAUAUAAUAUUUUAUUAAUAUUUAUAUAGUAUUAACAUAAUUCAUAUUACUAUUUUAUAGUAUAUGAAAUUUUACUUUGAGAAAAUUAGAGUGCUUAAAGCAGGCNUUAGCCUUGAAUACUCCAGCAUGGAAUAAUAUAAAAGAUUUUUAUCUUUUUUAUUGGUUCUAAGAUAAAAAUAAUGAUUAAUAGGGACAGUUGGGGGCAUUUGUAUUUAACAGUCAGAGGUGAAAUUCUUAGAUUUGUUAAAGACAAACUAGUGCGAAAGCAUUUGCCAAGGAUGUUUUCAUUAAUCAAGAACGAAAGUUAGGGGAUCGAAGACNAUCAGAUACCGUCGUAGUCUUAACCAUAAACUAUGCCA
rnacentral:rRNA from 1 species